rnacentral:rRNA from 1 species
CCUACGGGAGGCAGCAGUGAGGAAUAUUGCUCAAUGGGGGAGACCCUGAAGCAGCGACGCCGCGUGAGGGAAGAAGGUUUUCGGUAUUUAAAACCCUUUUGGUAGGGGAGCAAAUGACGCUAUCUGACGAAUAAGCAGCGGCUAAAUACGUGACAGCAGCCGCGGUAAUACGUAGGGGGCAGGCGUUAAUCGGAGUCACUGGGCGUAAAGCGGGCGUAGUCGGGAUAGCAAGUCCGACGUGAAAUCCUAGGGCUUAACCAUAGAACUGCAGUUGAAACUGUCAUUCUGGAGUGAGGGAGAGGUAUGCGGAAUUCGUGGUGUAGCGGUGAAAUCCGUAGAUAUCACGAAGAACACCGAUUGCGAAGGCGGCAUGCCGGCACCUAACUGACGCUGAGGCGCGAAAGCGUGGGUAUCGAACAGGAUUAGAUACCCGAGUAGUC